rnacentral:siRNA from 1 species
UAGAGAGUGUCCAGCGAUCCAG